rnacentral:tRNA from 1 species
GAGGGUAUAGCUCAGUGGUAAAGUGCAUGCUUAGCAUGCACAAGGUCCUGGGUUCAAUCCUUAGUACCUCUG